AGCUUUUUGAAUUCGUGUUGAGAUUUAAUCACCAACCCAUUAGGGCUGAUCAGACUUCCAAUAUAAGUGAAGUU
rnacentral:pre_miRNA from 1 species